rnacentral:rRNA from 1 species
AACAGGGAUUGCCCUAGUAACGGCGAGUGAAGCGGCAACAGCUCAAAUUUGAAAUCUGGCUUCGGCCCGAGUUGUAAUUUGCAGAGGAUGCUUCUGGCGCGGUGCCUUCCGAGUUCCCUGGAACGGGACGCCACAGAGGGUGAGAGCCCCGUAUGGUUGGACACCAAGCCUGUGUGAAGCUCCUUCGACGAGUCGAGUAGUUUGGGAAUGCUGCUCAAAAUGGGAGGUAAAUCUCUUCUAAAGCUAAAUACCGGCCAGAGACCGAUAGCGCACAAGUAGAGUGAUCGAAAGAUGAAAAGCACCUUGAAAAGGGGGUUAAACAGUACGUGAAAUUGUUGAAAGGGAAGCGCUCAUGACCAGACUUGCGCCGGGCGGCUCAUCAGGGGUUCUCCCCUGUGUAUUCCGCCCGGCUCAGGCCCAGCAUCGGUUGUUGUUGGGGGAUAAGAACGGUGGGAACGUGGCUCCCCUCGGGGAGUGUUAUAGCCCACCGUACGAUACCCUGGCGGCGACCGAGGUUCGCGCUCCGCAAGGAUGCUGGCGUAAUGGUCAUCAGCGACCCGUCUUGAAACACGGACCAAGGAGUCGUCCAUUAGAGCGAGCGUUUGGGUGUAAAACCCGCACGCGUAAUGAAAGUGAAAUUAGGUGAGAGCUUCGGCGCAUCAUCGACCGAUCCUGAUGUUCUCGGAUGGAUUUGAGUAAGAGUUUUAACGGACGGACCCGAAAGACAGUGAACUAUGCUUGUAUAGGGUGAAGCCAGAGGAAACUCUGGUGGAGGCUCGCAGCGGUUCUGACGUGCAAAUCGAUCGUCAAAUAUGAGCAUGGGGGCGAAAGACUAAUCGAACUGUCUAGUAGCUGGUUACCGCCGAAGUUUCCCUCAGGAUAGCAGUGUUGACCUUCAGUUUUAUGAGGUAAAGCGAAUGAUUAGGGACUCGGGGGCGCUUUUUAGCCUUCAUCCAUUCUCAAACUUUAAAUAUGUAAGAAGCCCUUGUUACUUAAUUGAACGUGGGCAUUCGAAUGUAUCAACACUAGUGGGCCAUUUUUGGUAAGCAGAACUGGCGAUGCGGGAUGAACCGAACGCGGGGUUAAGGCGCCAGAGUGUACGCUCAUCAGACACCACAAAAGGCGUUAGUACAUCUUGACAGCAGGACGGUGGCCAUGGAAGUCGGAAUCCGCUAAGGACUGUGUAACAACUCACCUGCCGAAUGUACUAGCCCUGAAAAUGGAUGGCGCUCAAGCGUACCGCCCAUACCCCGCCCUCAGGGUAGAAACGAUGCCCUGAGGAGUAGGCGGCCGUGGAGGUCAGUGACGAANCCUAGGGCGGAGCCC